rnacentral:rRNA from 1 species
GCCUGAUGCAGCGACGCCGCGUGAGGGAUGACGGCCUUCGGGUUGUAAACCUCUUUCAGUAGGGAAGAAGCGAAAGUGACGGUACCUGCAGAAGAAGCGCCGGCUAACUACGUGCCAGCAGCCGCGGUAAUACGUAGGGCGCAAGCGUUAUCCGGAAUUAUUGGGCGUAAAGAGCUCGUAGGCGGUUUGUCGCGUCUGCCGUGAAAGUCCGGGGCUCAACUCCGGAUCUGCGGUGGGUACGGGCAGACUAGAGUGAUGUAGGGGAGACUGGAAUUCCUGGUGUAGCGGUGAAAUGCGCAGAUAUCAGGAGGAACACCGAUGGCGAAGGCAGGUCUCUGGGCAUUAACUGACGCUGAGGAGCGAAAGCAUGGGGAGCGAACAGGAUUAGAUACCCUGGUAGUCCAUGCCGUAAACGUUGGGCACUAGGUGUGGGGGACAUUCCACGUUUUCCGCGCCGUAGCUAACGCAUUAAGUGCCCCGCCUGGGGAGUACGGCCGCAAGGCUAAAACUCAAAGGAAUUGACGGGGGCCCGCACAAGCGGCGGAGCAUGCGGAUUAAUUCGAUGCAACGCGAAGAACCUUACCAAGGCUUGACAUGGACCGGACCGCCGCAGAGAUGUGGUUUCUCCUUUUGGGGCCGGUUCACAGGUGGUGCAUGGUUGUCGUCAGCUCGUGUCGUGAGAUGUUGGGUUAAGUCCCGCAACGAGCGCAACCCUCGUUCCAUGUUGCCAGCGCGUAAUGGCGGGGACUCAUGGGAGACUGCCGGGGUCAACUCGGAGGAAGGUGGGGACGACGUCAAAUCAUCAUGCCCCUUAUGUCUUGGGCUUCACGCAUGCUACAAUGGCCGGUACAAAGGGUUGCGAUACUGUGAGG